GGUGCAAAUGAUGUUCGUGACCAAAGCCUGACUUCCUGAUUAGUCAUAAUUGACUGACUGCACU
rfam:Fukomys damarensis contig127699, whole genome shotgun sequence.